rnacentral:rRNA from 1 species
UCAUAUGUACAUGCCUAUAGCGUUAAUGCACCAGAUCCCAUUAGAAAUCCACAGUUAAUCAUGCUUGGGAUAGAUUAGUAUUGGGAUGGGUGAUAUCUUGGGAAUUCUUAGUGUUUUACAUGCC